rnacentral:rRNA from 1 species
AGUGAACGCUGGCGGUAGGCCUAACACAUGCAAGUCGAACGGCAGCACAGUAAGAGCUUGCUCUUACGGGUGGCGAGUGGCGGACGGGUGAGGAAUACAUCGGAAUCUACUUUUUCGGGGGGGAUAACGUAGGGAAACUUACGCUAAUACCGCAUACGACCUACGGGUGAAAGCAGGGGAUCUUCGGACCUUGCGCGAUUGAAUGAGCCGAUGUCGGAUUAGCUAGGUGGCGGGGUAAAGGCCCACCAAGGCGACGAUCCGUAGCUGGUCUGAGAGGAUGAUCAGCCACACUGGAACUGAGACACGGUCCAGACUCCUACGGGAGGCAGCAGUGGGGAAUAUUGGACAAUGGGCGCAAGCCUGAUCCAGCCAUACCGCGUGGGUGAAGAAGGCCUUCGGGUUGUAAAGCCCUUUUGUUGGGAAAGAAAAGCAGCAGGUUAAUACCCCGCUGUUCUGACGGUACCCAAAGAAUAAGCACCGGCUAACUUCGUG